GGGGCGAAAAGUCGCGUUACCUCCACAGGGCGCAACUUGUAUCUAAUUAUAGAUUUUUCAUCUUUGGUUGCUGAAACAGGUGUUCAUCAUGGAAAAAGAAGAAAAUUCUACUACUUUUAGAGGCAACCCAUCAGGAUCUGGUGUCAAAGGACCGGCAUUCACCCCAGAGAAGGCCAGUAAAAAUAAGAUGGCGUCAAAAACCAACAAGAAGUGGGUACGGCUUGCUACUGUGUUGGCUUACGUUCUAGCAGUUUCUCUGGCCGCCAUUGUUUUGGCCAUUUACUACAGCUUCCUCUGGGACCCGCAGCUGAAGACGUCUACUACUGUUGCACCGAUGCCUGGGACCGAAAACAUUUCUUCGGUUACGGGGGGCAGCCAAACCACAGCGGGGAGCGGGACCACAACAGUGUGAGGCAGAAAUGGGAAGAGAAAGAAAAGCACCACACCAUGGUAAUGCUUUGCGGCUUACCCUCUUUCCAGCAAGUUUUCAAACAAUUUUGUCGUUAAAUGAGUUCCUAGUCAACAUCCAGACAAUCUGUUGUGAUAUUUAUAGUGUUUGUGAAUUUUGUUACUUCUUGCUGCAUAUAGUGUCCCACAGAUUCACUCAUAUUGACAAUUUUUCGUCCAAAUAUAUUAAUAUAGACGAUUUUCCAUUUUUGUCUGAAUGUUGAAUCUCUUUCAUCCCCUGUUUACAUGUAUUUAGUUACACAAUUGUACAGGAUUGUGUGUACUGUGAUAUCCUGAGUUUCAUGCUCAGUGAAUUGCUAAUUUUCAUGGAGGUUGAUUUUAAUUGCCAUUGUGGUAUAGACAUAUAUGAACCCAUGAAUUCAAUUUCUCUACACACAUAUAAAAAAUUAUAGCCUUAAAGUCUACCAUGAAUAUGAUGGGUUUUUUCUUUUGUUUUCAUGAAAUCACAAAACUUUAACCCUGAGAAAAAUAUGUGAUUUAACAGCAAGUUGAAUAGUGUAUUGUUGAGUUUCGACCAUCAAAUAAUUGUUUUGUGUAUCCAGUUGUUACCUCUUAUAUUUUUAUUUGUAGAAUAUUUCUAAUGGUUGUUUUUUUGGUCACUCUCGAUACUUAUUAGACAUUUUUAUGUAUACCAUUUACCAAAUAUAAUAUGAAAUAUCACAUCAUUCAUUAGACAUAAGAUAAAAAAGCACAGUGGUAUAGAAAAGAUCCGAUUCCCUCUGAAGCUCAUCUAAGCCAGAGGAUUUUUUAAACAUUUCAAGGCAUCUAUACUAGUCUACGGAAAACCUGUUGUUUAUAUGACAAAGGAUAUACUCUAGUUUGUUAAAAUAUGUGUAGUCAAACCAAUCACCUGGGUUAGGAUGCGGCAAAUAGAAAUUAUAAUCAAUCUCAUCAAAUCUUUUCCUUUUGAGAAGACAUUUACUAAGAUUUGUCCAAAUGAUAUGCAAGAAUCUCAAUGUAGCUUAUAUUAAUUUUUUUUCAAAGCACUUGUUGGGUCUCAUAUUUGCUUGUAAGAGCAUGAUAUUUAUGAUGAACAUUAUAGUUUAAUGAAUCGUUAUCUGGUUAUCAGUGUAUAAAUAUGUUUACAUUCUAAGGGUGCUACAGAUAUCUAUUAAGUCACACAGAAAGAAACUUCAUAGAAGCAUCUUAGCAAUUACAUCUCAGACCAGCUGUUGUACACAGUAAGUCUACAUUGGGGGUGGCUGUUGUACACAGUAAGUCUACAUUGGGGGUGGCUGUUGUACACAGUAAGUCUACAUUGGGAGUGGCUGUUGUACACAGUAAGACUACAUUGGGGGUGGCUGUUGUACACAGUAAGUAUACAUGUACCACUAUGAAUUAUUACUUGUUUUCUUGAUGAUCUUGUUAAAGUAGUAUAUGCUUAUUCAGUAUCUUUUUCAUGUGCUUGUGCAGUAAAACUGUGAACAACAAUAUUUUACAGGGCCAUUAAAUUGAGAUGAGAGUAAACAUACAAUGUAGUUGCCAUCUCUCUCUCUCUCUCUCUCUCUCUCUCUCUCUCUCUCUCUCUCUCCAUUAGAGGAUGUCAAGUGUGAUCCAAAUAUUAGUGAAGAUUUGAGUAGAUCCCUGUUUUAUGGGAUAUGGUACAAUAACAAAACUCAUUUCCCCAAGAAAAGCAAACUAGGGGAAUUCCGAUUGGUCAAGUGAAUAGGGUUAAGCAUUACUAAGAUUUAUUUUGACCUAAGGUAUUUUAAUAAAACAUAUAAGCUAACUUUAUAUAUACAUGUGGGGCUGUGCAAUAUGAUUUUGAAUAUGAAAUAUUAGUUGAGGCAGUUGGGGCAUUUUUACAAACUUUACUUGAUUUACAGGGAUUGUGCACUACUGUUAUUUAUAUAAACCUUGAUUUAUUUUUAAUUUAGGAAAGACUGUCUUGUUGAAAUGUGUAUACAAUAGAUGAUAAUACAUGUGCUGUACAUAUUGCAUCCACCCUUUUUGUUUUAUGCAUUACAUUUCGAGUAUGUGUUCAGCAGAUUUUUUUUUCAGCAAUUGGUGCUGCAAUUUUAUUGAAUUAUAUUUUUAUGCCCCGCCAUGAAUAUGACCGGGGCAUAUAGUGUUUGUCAUGCCUGUCUUCUGUCCUUCCGUCACACUUUGUGUUUAGCUCUGUGUUUAGUUCAGUUUCAAAGAAACUAUUUAAGAUAUAUUCAUCAAACCUUACAUGCUGAUGCAUAUUGGUAUCAUCUAUUCAACUGCAUCAAUAUUUUUUGACCUUGACAUUUCCUUUGACCUUGACUUCACUUUUCCUUAUUUGGUAUUUAGCUCAGUUUCAAAUUAACUACUGACAAUAUUUUAAUGAAACCUACAUGUAUUACACUGAUACAUAUUAGUGGUAGCUAUUCAACUAUGGCAUUAUUUUAUUACCUUGACCUUCCCUGUGAUGUUGACCUCACUAUUUCCUAUUUUGGUGUUUAGCUCAGUUUCAAAGCAAUUAAUGAAGAAUUUUUUGGUCCCUUUCUGAACAUGGCCAGGAUAUAUAGUAUGGGAGCAGAUUUACGAGUCUACUUUUGAUUGAAGACUGUUUGUCAUGCCAGUUUAUGAUAUUCAUGUAUAUAUAUGAGGAUCAGCAUUUCAUGCGAGUAUGAUUUAUUUUUCUUAUUUUAGAAGUAAUUUUGAAUAAUGAUAACCUUUCUAUAGAUAGCUAGGCAACAUUUAACCAAUGCAAAAUUGCUGUUUAUCUUUAUAGCAGUUUUCUUAAAAUUUUGGUAUGAAUUGGUGAUACUUAAGUUAAAAUUUUUAAACAUGAAAACAUUUUGAAAAAAGGUGACUUUUUUUUCUAUUAGAACACUUCACUUUGCCAUGGAAAUAAUGCAUUAGAAUGGUAAAUGAGAAUAUUAGAAAGAUUUUCCUUUUCAUUUAUGUGUGAUAUGACUUAUAAACAACUGAUAUUUACCUGUAUUAAAGAUUUUAGAGUAAAUAUAGCAAUAGACAAGAGUGUUUAAGGUUCUCUUUAUAUUGAAUAUAAUUGUGAUAUGAUUUGAACACAACUCAGAUUUACCUGUAUAAAGGCUAGCACCACACCAGACUAAGUUCACUAAAGGUUUAAACCCAGAUACUAACACAACAAAGUGAAAGCACUGCAUUUCUCUUCUAUUUCAUCGAUAAAGUGAAGGAAAUAGUGUGCAGCAACUUUCCCUCUCCAUUGAAAAGUUGUAAAGUUUUAUUACAUGAAGAAGAUAUUUACCCUUCUAUCGCCUCCUAUGGUCAUCCUUAAUCUGCAUAAUUUUCUUUUUUAAAAGUGUUCAGUAUUUUAAUAUUUUUCCAGAAAACAAAAAAAUUCAACUUAUUUUCCAUUGUGAAUGGGGCAGAAUAUCAGGCCAUGAGCAGGUACCAAUAAUCCCUGUUUUUUUUAGCUCAUGUAAGCUUUUCUGAUUAAAACUUUCCGUUGUUGUAAACGUUUCACAUUUUCAUCUUCUUCUUCAGAACCAUCUGGCCAAUUUCAAUGAAACUUGACACAAAUCAUCCUUGGGUGAAGGGGAUUAAAGUUUGUUCAAAUGAGGGACAAUGCCCUUCUCAAGGUGCAAUAAUGUAGAAUAGUGAAAAUAAACUGGCAAAUUUUAAUAUUUUUCUUCAGAACCAGCAGGCUAAUUUCAAUCAAACUUGGUACAAAUUAUCCUUAGGUGAAGGGGAUUCAAGUUUGUUCAAAUGAAGGGCUAUACCUCUUUUAAAAGGGAGAUAAUCACAAAAAUGCAAGAAUAGGGUGGGGUCAUUUAAAAAUCUUCUCAAGAACCACUAGUCCAGAGAAUGUCAAAUUUCCAUGGCAGCUUUCUGACAUAGUGCAGAUUCAUGCUUGUAAAAAUCAUGUCCCCCAAGGGUAGGUUGGGGCCACAGUAGGGGAUCAAAAUUUUACAUAUGAAUAUAUAGGGGGGAGUUUUUAGAUAUGGGCCAAGGUGACUCAGGUGAGCAAUGGGGCCCCUUAUUUUCAUAUUGCAUUACAAAUGCUACAUCAGGCGGGACAUUCGUGUCCUGUGGACGUUUAUCGAGUUUGGGGUUAAAUCAAUUUAUUGAUUAAUAUAUUUUCCUUUGAAAAAAAAACAACUAAGUUUUGAAAUGUGUCUCUAUGAAGCAGUUAUUCAAAAUUGUGUUUGUAAUGUACAAAAAUAACAUGUUGAACUGUUUGAAGUUUUUAUUUUUUAUGUUAAGUAUGGUAUAGCAAUAUCUGUAUGUCCAUCUGUCUGUCUGUGUGUUAGGUAGGGGUUUUCAUUUCUCUGUAACAUCAAACUGAAACUUGCUAUGUAGUUUCUUUCUGGGUCACUCUAGAUCGUGUUGCAAGUUGGACCCAUUUCAACCCCCUAAGCAGGAGUUUUGCUACUUUAUUUGAAAUAUACAUUAUAUGGAGAUUAUGUAAUUCUCCCACCGUUUUCAAGGAAAUACCUUUUUUAUGUUACAGAGUGUUUGUAUGGGUAUUGAAGAUGUACAUGUAGCGAGGAUUUUGAUAUCCUUAAAGUUUUGAAAAAACAACAACAGCAGUUUGUUAAACUUAGUUUUGAGGAGAUAUUACAUGUAUAUACAUUAAGUACACAUUUAUUUCAAACUAAGGCCUUUGUAAUCAACUUUAAGAUAUACGUAUUGCAAGAAUUUUGAUUUCUAACAGUUUUCUAAUUUUCUUUGAUGUUUUGAGAAAAAAAUUACGGGUGGUUGAAAUACUGUACACACAGCUAGAGCUCUUGGUUUGGUUAUAUACCUUCUGUCAGUCAUACAUUGACCUUUUGUUAAUAUGAUGCAAAAGGAAGGUUAUUGCUUGGUGAUGGCUGAUACUUUUAAAAUACCUGAAUUAAAGUUCUACAACUCAUGGCUUAAGAAAACCACCUCACACAAGCUUGUGAUGGGUGUAUUGUGUACCGUUCCCGGUACUCUUGCCGUUUCUAAGAACUUUAACAUUGCUUUAUGAAAUGUUAGGGAGGAAUAGUGAUUGAUGCAUUUGUCAUGUUUGGAAUUGUUGUAUACUAUUGUUCAUUGUGAUAGAAUUGUGUUAUACAUACAUGUUGAAAUAUUAAAUCUGUGUACCCAAA